GAGUGCUCCAGUUGGAGAACAGCCUUUACCAAAGGUGUCAUGGACUUUGAAGACACUCAAACUCAGAACACAAGGGAGAAAUGUGCAAAGAGGAAGGCACGCUUGGCAAAUCCACACCAUGAUCAACUCCUGCCCAGGAACCAAUGUCGCCACUGUGGAAAGAUGUGUGGGUCCAUAACUGGCCUCCACAGUCACUUACGGACUCAUUGUUAAAACCGUGUUUAUGGAAGACAAUCUUACUUGACUACGAGUGAUCACAGAAGAAGAAGAAGAAGAAGAAGACGACGAAGACUAGGAUACAUAAUAAGGAAAAGCUUUAAUUCAGCUUAAAUCUCUAUUUUUUUGCAGGAGUUUGCAGCAAUUUUAUCUAAGGAAUGCAUGCAGGCAUUAGUAUUACUCAAGAGAAAACAAACAAUUCCUGCAAGUUUAAGAAUACUCCCACUGCUUUACAUUAGUAAACAAAAAACUGGAAUAUGAGAAAAUGUCAAAUGCAAAUAGGAUUGCCAUUGAAUUUGUUUUAUUCCUUCUCAUUUAAAUUUUAAAAAGAUGAGAGAAAGUUAUACAGCCAAUACGGCACAAUUUCAUUUUGCAAUAAUAAUAAUAAUAAUUGCAAAGGCAAAAAUUACUAGCCUCAUAAUACUUUGCAUAAUUAACUUAAUCAAUGCCAUUCAGUUGAAUGUCCUUGGACGUUUCCCUGCAGUUGCAAAUCCUUGCAUUAUCAAGCUUCCUGAUUGUUUGAAGGCUUGUAAAUUCAUUCAGCUGAAUGUGCUAACAAGCACCCCUUAGGUUUUCCUCCUCGGUGCAACAAGGUCCAAAGUCGAGGAGUGUUGGAGAUGGGGGCAUCAAAUGUGCCUGAGUGUCCCAUGUCUUCAUGUACUCACAUGCUCUUUGAACAUCUGAACAGGGCUAGUAUCUGAUUUGUUUGCUUUUUUAGUAUUUGACACAAGCAGUUCAAGCUUCCACAGUUAGCUGAGAAGUAUCUCUUUAUCCUAAGUCACGUGCGUUUGAACUACAUUUACAAAACCAUAUUGGACUCAAGAGAUAAUUUCUCAUCAAGCAUUCCACUUCUUGAAGUUAGAAUUUGUUUCCAAUACCUCUUAGCUUUUUUACAUUUUCACCAGCAUUCAUCACAUCCCCCUCCCACUUAAAUGGUUUUGCUGUAAUUUUAACAGUGCCUGGAGUCAUAUUAACAGUUUUAUUUUAAAGACAUAGCAGCUGUAUACAUGUUUCUCUGUUUCCACAUACAUUGCCACAUUUCUGUUUAUGUAUCUGUGUGAAAAUCUCUCUUCCAUUUUGUGAUGUAUCCUUAAUGUUGAAUAAAAUAUAAUAGAUCUGUGACUACAUUGAUUUUUAACUAUGAUUUGUUCUAACUGGACCAGUGGUCUGAGGCUGCCACUUCCUUGUUCAAUCCAGUGCUGCAGAAAUGGCAUCUUUGGGAAGUGCUCUAAAAGAACAAUCUGAGGCUGUCCAUCUCUUCCUCAACUUCUGUAUAGCAGAACACCACUUAGCAUCCAGUGUCUACACUAACAAAAUUCCUGCUUAUUAAAACAUGGGAGAGAUCUGCCCAGCCUUAUUGCAGCAGGGAUUUAAAAAAGGAAAUUGAUUAUUUUUCUGAGCUAUGUCUCUCCCAUACAGUGGUACCUCGGGUUAAGUACUUAAUUCAUUCCGGAGGUCCGCACUUAACCUGAAACUGUUCUUAACCUGAAGCACCACUUUAGCUAAUGGGGCCUCCUGCUGCUGCUGUGCCGCCGGAGCACAAUUUCUGUUCUCAUCCUGAAGCAAAGUUCUUAACCUGAAGCACUAUUUCUGGGUUAGUGGAGUCUGUAACCUGAAGCGUAUGUAACCUGAAGUGUAUGUAACCCGAGGUACCACUGUAUAAUCAAAAUUACUAGUAGACUCAUACUCCCUGUCAUCACCUUUUGUCUUCUGUUUUAGAAUGAAACUAGAGGAGUGAAUCUACUGAUAGGAGCAUUUUUGCAAACUAUCUAGCUGUCCCUUCCUGAACUACUUCAACUCUGUCCUUUAUCCAGUUUAAUAGCUUUUUGCUAAUUUUUUUUAUUUUAAUAUGUUCAUAUACUGGUAGAAGUGGUGCAUCCCCCCCCACUUCCCCCUCAGGAGUUAAGCAGAGAAGGAAAUGUGAUUUUUUUCUCCAGGCUUGCUAUGGUUCUAAUAAUUAUCUCCUCUCUCCCACAAACACAGCAAUGCUGUGUGGGUUUUUGAAGAUCUUCACAUUAAAUGCAUAGAUUCAUUUAACUCCACAUCUUAUUUUGCCUGAACAUCAGGAUGAGCUUUUUGUCAGUGGAACAGAUUCCCAUGAGAGGCGGUGGACUCUCCCUCCUUGGAGGUUUUGAAGCAGAGGUUGGAUGGCUGUCUGUCUUAGAUGAUCUACUGUAGUUGAGAUUCCUGCAUUGCAGGGGGUUGGACUAGAUGACCCUCAGGAUCCCUUCCAACUCCACACUUUGAUGAUUCUACAACCACUGAACCACAAUACCAUUUUAAAAAAAAUCUGUACAGUAGAAGAAAAAGGUUGAACAACCAAAAGACUGACUAGGGAAAGCUUUUCUUCAUUACGGUACCUUUUAUUAUGUUUUUAUAAAUUAAUCUGCUCUUCAACCAGAAUGUUCCCAGGGCAUUUGAGAAGAUUUGUUUUUGUUUCAAGAUACAUCCAUACAAAAUAAGCAAGUAAUCUGACUUUCCAGAUGGAGUUAAAUAAACUAAUGAAAUGCAGAAGAAGGAAAUAAAAUUAGUAGGUAAGUGACCACAUUAGGGGAAUUAGGUUACUCAGAGAACCAGAAAAGAAUGAGGUAGGAAAGAAAGCUCAAAGCCCAAUUUAAUUGUGUGUGUGUUUAAGUAAGAUAUUAACAAAGCUAACUGCAGAGAAUAAUAAACAAGAAGUUACCCUGUUAACUGAGAUAUGCCCACCUUCACCCGAAUAUCUUCACAGUGGAUAUGCAGAACAGUAGGGUGGUUCUAAAACCUUCAUAUUCAAAGACGUUUUAAAAGGUAUUUUGCAUAGAAUUUGUAUGGAUGUGCCUCUGGUGCUUUGACUCAUGGAAUUGGCUGAUUGGGUCAAAUCAAUAUGUGAAAUUCAACCUCUAUCAUUUCUCUUUAUUAGUCUUCUCUUUUCUCUGCUCUAUUCCUUAAGCUUCCUCCUUCACUGCUUUUUCAUUGAGUUCCAAAUUCCUUGCUCUGAAUUCCUUGUUCCAUAGCUUUCCUUCUUCCUGGUCCACAGCCUGCCUUGCAGAGCUGCUGUCUAUUGCUUCCUUGGGAAGUUUUAAUCCCAGCUAAACUGACAACAUCCCCUUCCACAACAUCAAGGAUAGCUAACUUGUGGUCUUCCAGAUGUUGGUGGACUACUGCUUCCAUCAUCCCUCACCAUUGCUGGCUGGAGCUGUUGGGAGUUCACCAACAUCUGGAGGACCACAGAUUAGCCACAUUGGGCAUCAGAGAAGCUCAGCUGCCUGAUGGCUUUGCACCCUGAGCACUUUAAUUUCUGUGAACUUUUCAGGUCAGCAGCAUCUCAAAUUUCAGUGGUGCACUAUGUGACGCCAAAAUUCACCCCCCCCUUGCCUUCUCCUGGAUGUCAUAGUUGUGGCGGCUCAGAAGCUCUGUGCCCAGUGUGACUGCAGCAGUUGCGUUCCCUAGAUCUGCCUUUGUUCAGGUCAUCACAGCAGCUCAGCCAAUGAGUGUCAGAGGCUUCACUGACCAAGUCAUGAUACAAUGUUGAUGUUGUUGUUCUAAAUAGGUGUAGCUAGUUUGCACUUUUUCCAAAAUGUUAAUUAAAAAAAAUGAAUUCAAUGAAAAGAAGAAAGGAAACUUACUGCACUUUUCUUUAAGCAUGGAAAGUGUACCAGGUUAUUGAGUCAACAAAGGCCUGAAAAUGACAUUCCACGUUGAGGUCUCACAAGGGUGCCAACUUGAAUAAAAUACUGAGGGGUGUGUGUAAGUAAGGCCCGCCCUGCACAAUCAAUCAAAAUAUGUGGCGCAUGCACACCAUUUGAAUAGCAAUGGCCAUCAACUUUUGGGGGAGCAUGGUCCCCUCAAAUAUUUUUUGGGGGGGGCUGAAGGGACCUCAGCCCUUUGGAGUUGGCUCCUGUGAGAUCUCAUCUUUUGCAACAGAAGAAGUAUAGUAAUGCUGCUUCUAUGUUGUGAUAACAUGGAGUUGUGUGUUCUUCCCUUCCCAAGCUCCAUACGGUUGGUAAUCACAUAACAUCACAACACAUUACUGUAGGUGCAUUUAGCAAGACAAUUACUGAAGGGGCAAACCAAAUACAUAUAUAGGGGAUACCUUACAUCAUACAAAAAGGAAGUGGAAUGCAAGAGAGGCAGGGCAUCUGUGACUUAAUAUGCUACUACUGCUCAUAUUGUAGAACAAAGUAUUUAACAAUGGUCAGGAAUCUAUUUUCUCAUCUGUAAGAAGUUGUUGUUGUUGUAUAGCUGGUUCUUAAUUUUGACUUUUUGCAGGCCAUUUUCCCUCAUACAAGGGAUACGGGUGGCGCUGUGGUCUAAACCACUGAGCCUCUUGGGCUUGCUGAUCAGAAGGUCGGUAGUUCGAAUCCCUGUGACGGAGUGAGCUCCCGUUGCUCAGUCCCUACUCCUGCCAACCUAGCAGUUCAAAAGCACGUCAGUGCAAGUAGAUAAAUAGGUACAGCUCCGGCGGGAAGAUAAACAGCAUUUCCAUGCGCUGCUCUGGUUUCGCCAGAAGCAGCUUAGUCAUGCUGGCCACAUGACCCAUAAAAAUUGUCUGUGGAUGAACAUCGGCUCCCUCAGCCAGUAAAGCGGGAUAAGUGCCACAACCUCAGAGUCGUUCGCGACUGGACUUAACUGUCAGGGGUCCUUUACCUUUACCUUUACCUUCUCUAAUACAAUGUAUUCCUGUAUGCUAUUUUGACUAACAUAUGCAUUUAUAUCAACAAUGCACACUAGUAUAUACAUUUUUGUGCACAUUACUUUGUUGCAGAACAGCGUUGGAAAAUUCAGAUUGUUUCAGGUUAGGUAUAUCCAUUAUUUUACUGUGAACUUAAUAAAAUCUCUUCUCUACCAGUACUCAAACCAUAAACUGAUGGCUUUUACAAAUGCCUGCACACGUUUGACCCACAAAACUUUACACAGCCCAACCAAUCAGAUAUGUACAGUGGUACCUUGGUUCUCAAACUUAAUCCGUUCCAGAAGUCCGUUCCAAAACCAAAGUGUUCCAAAACUAAGGCGCACUUUCCCACAGAAAGGAAUUUAAAAUGGAUUAAUCCGUUCCAGACUUUUAAAACCAACCCCUAAAACAGCAAUUUAACAUGAAUUUUACUAUCUAACGAUACCAUUGAGUCAUAAAAUGAAAGCAAUAAUCAAUGUACUGUACUAUAAAAUAAAUAAGACAGUAUUGUAGAUGAUAAAAAUUAAAAGUAAUUUUUUUUUCUUACCUGCACUGAUGAUAGUCAUUGUUUGGAUGGGGGGCUUUUAUCCAUUUCUGCAGUUAGACAAUCAAUCCAUCAGUAGCUGAACUGGGUUCCACACAGUCACAAAAACAAAUUAACCGAAAAAGUCUCAAAAACAAAAAUGCAGAAUCAAUAGCAAAAACAAAAGCCCCAAACUUAAUCCAUUCCGGAAGUCCGUUUGACUUCUGAAAUGUUCGAAAACCAAGGCGCAGCUUCUGAUUCGUGCAGGUGCCCCGGAAACAGCAACUAACAACUGCAUUGGACAUUCGGCUUUUGAAAAACGUUCGGAAACCAGAACCCUUACUUCUGAGUUUUUGGUGUUUGGGAACCAAGGCGUUUUCUCAAACCAAGGUACCACUGUAUUUUCAGUCUGCCUGGUCCUUGAUGAUACCUUUAAUGUUGCAGUUUUCAGGCAGGCAGCGAAACUAAAGGCCUAUGAAUGCUCUGGAAGGUGACAUAUGUGGCUGUGAUCAUUCUGAUGGGUCAUACAUUAUGCAGGCCUUUUAUAUGUCUUAAUACCAGCACUAAGUUAAGAUAACAAGUUGUAUUGCAGUUAAUACGGUUUUCAGAAAGUUAGUGGGUUGCAGUGAAUCCACACUUGGACUGGAGUUACCUGCAUUCAAAAUCUUCACUUAAACCAUAAAACCUGGGCCAGUAAUUCAGUUUAAUUGGCCUCCCAGGCUUGUUGCAAAGAUAAAAUGGGAUAAAGCACUGUAGUUACUUGUGGGGAAAUAAAGGAUGUAAUUUACUGAGGCACUUGCAAAGGUGAGAACGCCAGCUUAAUGUAAUAUAAUAAUAGGGUAAUAAGAGUCUGUGAAGAUCCCACGUGCUGUAAGUAUAUCAUUGGCAACACUGGGUCCCCUCAGCCCAAGGACUGAGGGAUUUCAAAACCUUUGUAAGAGAAUUCACAGGCAAUUAUAUGGUCCCUUUUAUCACUACCACUAGAAAGCCCAUAGUAAAUUAUCUACAAAUGAUGUAUUUUUAUGAGCACCAAAGAGCAGCAGUUGUGUAAAUUCAAACAAUAGCUGCUUCAAGCAGACUUGCUUCAUAUUUUGUUAUCUGCAAUUAUCUAUAAUUUUAUAUCCUUAUUUUGCUUGUUGCAGAGAAUAAAAAGCAAACCUCAUAUCAGUUUGCAACAGUGUAGAGCUUUGAGGAAAACGGUUGCUUCUUAUAUGCUGUUGACUUUGCCUGUUUCAAGCAUGGAUUCUUAACCUUCCAUUCCACAGACUGACGCCACGUUCUGUCCCAAUUGCAGUCUGCUAUGUCUUCUCCAUGGGCGUGGGACUAGAUCGUGAUGUUCUGCAAGUAUUUACGUGUCUGGUGUUUAUUUUAUUUAUUUCAUAAAAUUUAUAUACUGCUUGAUUGUAAAAGGAAACCACAAAGUGUUUGAUCUGAGGGUUUAGCAUAGUUUCCCCCACUGCAUAGACCUUCCAAGUAGGAUGUCAGUCUUUUGUUCCCAAAUACCUACUAUUGAGUUCCAUGACAUUGAGAUCUAGAUUUUCCUAGUUUAUUUUAUUUUGAAUGCUUAUAAUGGAAGUUUGAGACUAUAAUUGGAAUAGAUAUGUUCACCUAAUAUCGAAGAAGGUAGUGAUAUUUUACUUUGCCAUGCUUUAUCCAUGGGUCUAAAUUGCACUCUUUUCAUUUUCAGAUGACUUCAUAAAAGGGUAGGACAGUUUC